rnacentral:rRNA from 1 species
UGGCGGCGUGGUUAAGACAUGCAAGUCGAACGGGAGAAUUGCUAGCUUGCUAAUAAUUCUCUAGUGGCGCACGGGUGAGUACCGCGUGAGUAACCUGCCCCCGAGAGCGGGAUAGCCCUGGGAAACUGGGAUUAAUACCGCAUAGUAUCGAAAGAUUAAAGCAGCAAUGCGCUUGGGGAUGGGCUCGCGGCCUAUUAGUUAGUUGGUGAGGUAACGGCUCACCAAGGCGAUGACGGGUAGCCGGUCUGAGAGGAUGUCCGGCCCCACUGGAACUGAGACCCGGUCCAGCCCCCUACGGGUGGCAGCAGUCGAGAAUCAUUCCCAAUGGGGGAAACCCUGAUGGUGUGACGCCGCGUGGGGGAAUGAAGGUCUUCGGAUUGUAAACCCCUGUCAUGUGGGAGCAAAUUAAAAAGAUAGUACCACAAGAGGAAGAGCCGGCUAACUCUGUGCCACCAGCCGCGGUAAUCCAGAGGUCUCAAGCGUUGUUCGGAAUCACUGGGCGUAAAGCGUGCGUAGGCUGUUUCGUAAGUCGUGUGUGAAAGGCGCGGGCUCAACCCGCGGACGGCCCAUGAUACUGCGAGACUAGAGUAAUGGAGGGGGAACCGGAAUUCCCGGUGUAGCAAA